rnacentral:tRNA from 1 species
GGAGCGGUAGCUAAUUAGUAAAGCCCUUGUCUAGAAUGCAUGAGGCCUUGGUUUCAAUUCCCAAUAGCACCA